UACGGAGGAUCCAAGCGUUAUCCGGAUUUAUUGGGUUUAAAGGGUGCGUAGGCGGCCUGUUAAGUCAGGGGUGAAAGACGGUAGCUCAACUAUCGCAGUGCCCUUGAUACUGAUGGGCUUGAAUGGACUAGAGGUAGGCGGGAAUGAGACAAGUAGCGGUGAAAUGCAUAGAUAUGUCUCAGAACACCGAUUGCGAAGGCAGCUUACUAUGGUCUUAUUGACGCUGAGGCACGAAAAGCGUGGGGGAUCAAACAGG
rnacentral:rRNA from 1 species